rnacentral:rRNA from 1 species
UACGUAGGGGGCGAGCGUUGUCCGGAGUUACUGGGCGUAAAGCGCACGCAGGCGGUCUGCUAAGUUUGGAGUGACAGUUGGUGGCUUAACUGCCAAAGUGCUUCGAAAACUGACAGACUUGAGGGCUUCAGAGGGACACGGAAUUCCGGGUGGGGUGGUGAAAUGCGUAGAGAUCCGGAGGAACACCAAAGGCGAAGGCAGUGUCCUGGGGAGUACCUGACGCCCAGGUGCGAAAGCCAGGGGAGCGAACGGG